CCUACGGGAGGCAGCAGUGAGGAAUAUUGGUCAAUGGGCGUAAGCCUGAACCAGCCAAGUCGCGUGAGGGAUGAAGGUUCUAUGGAUUGUAAACCUCUUUUAUAAGGGAAUAAAGUGCGGGACGUGUCCCGUUUUGUAUGUACCUUAUGAAUAAGGAUCGGCUAACUCCGUGCCAGCAGCCGCGGUAAUACGGAGGAUCCGAGCGUUAUCCGGAUUUAUUGGGUUUAAAGGGUGCGUAGGCGGCAUUUUAAUUCGGCGGUGAAAGUCUGUGGCUUAACCAUAGAAUUGCCGUUGAAACUGGUAGUCUUGAGUAUGUUUGAGGCAGGCGGAAUGCGUGGUGUAGCGGUGAAAUGCUUAGAUAUCACGCAGAACCCCGAUUGCGAAGGCAGCCUGCCAAGCCAUGACUGACGCUGAUGCACGAAAGCGUGGGGAUCAAACAGGAUUAGAUACCCCAGUAGUC
rnacentral:rRNA from 1 species